UAUAGCCACCAAUUUCUACUGAGUAUUUAUCUACUAUAUGGCAGGUCAAGUCUGCAUUCUGGGAUAAAGUGUUGACACAAUCUUGAAUCAGUGCCUAAGGAGUUCACAAGUCCAGAGAGGGGAUAGCGCAUAGAGAAGAUAAAGCAGAUGUCCAUCCAAAGACUUGUAUGUGAAUGUUCAUAGCAACUUUAUUUGUAAUAGCCAAAACCUGAAAGCAACCCAAAUGUAUGUUAAGAAGCGAAUGGAUACAUAAAUUGUGGCAUAUGCAUACAAUGGGAUACCCAGCAAUAAAAAGGAAUGAACUAUUCAAAGAUAAGAGAGCUGAAGAAGAGUGAAAAUAAAGAAACUUCUGCAAAGCCACACAUGUAAUUGACCCAUCAUUUGGAUGACCCGAAACCACAGAUGCAAUAGAAGAAUGGAACAAAUUUGUACAUUUUGUCAAUAAAAACUUUAUCUUCA
rnacentral:lncRNA from 1 species